rnacentral:piRNA from 1 species
UCCCAUUUGAAUCCCAACGGGCAGUCUGGC